GCCGCCGUAGCUCAACGGAAGAGCGCCGCACUUGUAAUGCGGGGGUUAGGGGUUCGAAUCCCCUCGGCGGCUCCA
rnacentral:tRNA from 2 species